AACUAAAAUAUACAACUAUGUACUGGGGGGGAUUUGGGGACAAAAAAAAAAGCAAAAAAAAAAGAAGUGUUCUAUCCUAAUUAAGGAUGAUAGUUUAUCCAAUUCCAAAUGUCUAUCAGAAAUCUAAGACAAGAAUGUCGUUAUGUUUUGAAAGGAAUUUAUUCCUUGACUGCAAUUUUGGGGUUUUAUUUAUAAGUGUUUGGAUUACCUGGCUGGUAUGUGCACUUGAAACGGAAUCAUCUGUGGACUGUCCAGGGCAAGCCGUAAAGAAAACCCUGCUGGUCCAGGAGUGUAAAGCUCCCGGCCAGCCACCUGGACUGCAGGUGAGUUGGGAUGGUGGCGUACUGCCAUCUUCUGGCCACAGUGUGGAAUUUAUCAGAAGCAGCUGUUGAUGUUUCUAUGGCUGGAGCUCUUGAGGACGUGAAAACAAUGAGGAAUGAUUUGAAAUUCAGUGGUCCUCGGGCUUAGUGGGUAAUCUUACCUUGUCUCUAACCUGAGUUCUGGUUUUAGAUGUGAGAUAUGUCUAAGGAGGUAGUCGAGGUGGUGUAACGGUGAGUGACCAGUCAGGGGUGGGGGAGUAUCAGCUCCUGAGUGCGGAACAGGGUGGGACAGCAGGCGGGAGGGGCCUGGCGGGCAAACAGCACACCCAGCACAACCACCUACUGCCCUGGGAAGCACAUGACAGGUGCUUUGUCAUUCAAGGCCACAGGGUUACUGCCAUAAGCAGGGCUUGGUUCCGGGUCUCCCAGUUCCCAGGGAUUUUCCACCACACCCCAUGCCCUGGUGCCCCUUGGGAGAUGCUGCGUAGUCUACCUGGACCUCAGAAACCUCAACUCCUUGGGGUUGAUUAGACUUCCUGGCCUUCUCUCCAGGCUGGGUGGGAUGCUGGCUGUGCAAAUAAGGACCCAAGAAAGACACCAAGCUUCAGGCUGUGGAAGACGUGUUCCGUGUCUACGGCUCCAUCUUAGGCAGAAUUCAGCUAGGGCGGGGCACAGAACCACCCCAGAGAUGCAGGAGGCCAGGCCAUCCGCAUUCCUCCCACCCACUGAAAUGUGUGCGGCACUUCCAAACCCCCCAGGCAGAGAGGGCCCCUCUCACCUGCUCCCAGCUCAGGUUGCUGACCUGGACUCCAGGCAGCAGAGCUCAUUGUAUUUGUGUGCGUUUGUGUGUUUGCACUUGUGUGUGUGUGUAUGUGUGUAUUUGGGGGGUAUGUGUAUGUGGGGCUCGGGGCAGGCAGAAGCUCUGACCCUGAGGAAAGAUGCCCUGGUGGAAAGCGCCAUGGACUUGGAGGUCGAGAACUAGCCUGUGGUCUGGCCCUGGCACUGACCACCUUGGGACAGUCGUCUCUUUCCUGAGUCUCAGAUUGCUCUUCUAUAAGAUAUGAGUCCCUGAGCACCUUUCCAGAGGUGGCAUCCUGUGAAAACUGUCACUGGAGAAGGCAGGCCCCUGGAAACCCUCAGGGCUACAGGAGCCUUUGGGGCAAGAGCUGGCCCUCCAUGCUCCAGGGGCCAGGCCCGGCCCAGUGGAGGCCUCGGUGGAGGAGGGCAGGAAGGAGGAGAGGGUGAACCGCAGCAGGGCGCCCAGCUUGCCUUGGCUUCUCCUGGGAAGAGGCAGUGUGAGCCCCUGGAGGGGCACAGAUGAGGAGCCAGCAGUCCCGGGUCCCCUGGGCCCCGGCGCUUCGCCGUGUACGGCACAGGGAAGUGUUCCAUCACAAGGGCCUCUUCACCCUGACUCAAGUUUGUGAAUCCAACGGGACAGCGAGUCCCUGUCCUACCACCUGCCUAUCCCUGGGCAACUGCAGCCUGAGAGGUUUCUCCCCACCUCCCCUCAGGCCCGGGGUCACUGCCUGGAUUUUCCCUGCUGCAGAGGGAGGUGCAGGCUCCAAGUGGUGGGGAAGGCCCUGGCUUUGCCCUCUGGCUUGCUGGCACCCCACCUCUACCCCUGCAAGUGAAAGGUGCUGCUCUGGCAUUGUCCAGCGGUAGGGGCCAGGCUGGGGGAGGGCAGAGAGGAUGCCUCUUCCCUGGGGGAGGUUGAACCUGUCAACACAAAUAAUAACCAAUCGACAGAAAGAAAGAUAGAGUGAUAUUUAUAGAGCCAGUGCUGAGGACUAGCCCAGGAGUGCUAGCUCCACCAGGAAAAAGGGCGCUCCAGAGAAGCGCUUGGUUAUGUAUAGUUUCAGGACAAAGAACAUACAGCAAGCAUGACAGGAAUACAGUUUUUUCCCAAAGUCGCGAGGAGAUGUUUUGCUGCAGGUUAGCACGUGCACGGCAGAUCAGCUUGCCCUCGGUUCCCUGGGAGGAAAAGCUGAUCUUCAAACAUGCGCUGGUAUUGAUGGCAGAGAGAGGGAGAUAUUCAUCCCUAUCUUUAAAGAGUGUAUUCUUUGCUUUGGGAAAAUGUUUGAAGCAGAUGUACGACACGUGUUUGGUGGGCCACAAGUCAGGCCGCUCUGGGAAAAACAAGUUCUAGGCCAAAUCAGAUUUAAACUAGAAUGGCUUUCCCAUAUACCUCAAUAUAUGAAAACUUCUCAUUGUUCUUAUUCUUUUCAUCAAACCAAUCCAGAGGGAGUGACUUGCUCAAGAUCACACAGCAAGUGGCACUAGAACCCAGGUCUCCUGACUCCCAGAUGGACCCUUGGGCUCCUGCUGCUCCAUGCUACCCAGGUCUGACCUCCCGCUCCGGCCCCUUUCCUCGAGGUGGCGUUCAACCUCCUGGGCCCCUCUGUGUCCUUGGCUCCAUUAUUGGACCAGGCCCCUGGGUCCCUUGGGGUCCCAGCCACACUCGGGUCCUUCUUUGCUUCUUGCUCCCUCCUGCCCCAGUCUCCCUGUACCUCAUUCAGUCCUUUGGUUUCCUGUCUGCUCCCCAUCUCGAAAAGCCAUUGGAGAAUGGCUUUGCUCAUUUCUCCUUUUAAUUCUGUCAACUGUUGGUUCCUAUAUUUGAAGUGAGUCAUAAAUAUUUAGGAUUCUUAUAUCUUUGUGUUUUGAUCCUUUUAUCAUUAUGAAAAUUUCCUUUUUAUUCCUAGUAAUACGUCUUGCCUUAAAAGUCUAUAUGAAUAUUUUUCAAUAUCCAUUGUGUAAAUUCUUAAGUGAUAAUUUCCUUUAAGAAAUUAUUGAAUUGUAGUAAAAAGCUGGGCUUCUGAUUGAACGAGUGUGCGUCCCUUCUAUCAGGGCGUGCAGUAUCUUCUCCAGUUUCCUUUUUGCCUCAGAAAUCAUUGUAACCCAAGUAAACAUUUUAGUUUCCAGAUUAACAUAUUUUACUGCCUUUAAAAUGAUAAUUUUAAAUAUUUCAUUUUACCUUCAGUAUUAAGUUUCUGUCAGUUAAUCCAAGAAAUCCCUAAUCUUCUGAAUUAGAGAUUUCCAGCAGUCAUAAAGGAAAAUAUUAAUUCUCCUGAAAGCAGGGUUCUAGUAUUAUAUACAUUUAUUUGAAUUAAUUUAUGUAUCUCCAUUAUUUCUUUUAAUUAAAAAUACAGUAUCAUUAAAGAAAAAUUUUAAGUGGACAAAAUUAUGGAUUGCCUACAGAAAUAUGACUCUCUUUUUUACAUUUUUCUCAGUGAUUAUCCUCAUACGCGAAUAUUCUCUUAAAUAAUUGUGGCAGAAAUCUAAAUGCCAUUUUAGAAUCUACUUUAUUUCAUUUGCUUUAAAUAGUUCAUACAUUUUUGUAACUUAGCUAAUCAUUCUUUAAAAUUUUACAUUGUAUUUCAUCAAGUUGACUUGUAACUUAUUGCUUCAACAGAAUAGAGUUAAAUCCUGAGUUUAUGUCACAGAGCUUUCAUUAACACAACAUCCACAUCUAGAACAGUUGGUGUCCCCAGGGUGUGCUUUGCUUCUAUGUAUAAUUGUCACAAUGCACUCAGUAGGCUGAUUCUUGGAGACUCCACCCUGAUCUGCUCAGAUCUGGUUUGGGUGACACGAUAAUCACAUCCCAUGUGGGACAAGGUCACCCACCUGUUCCCUGUAACUCUGGAGCCUGCAUCACCCCCCACAACCUGUCAGUCAGUAUCAUCGCUGCAACACCAGCCAGGUCCCGCUUUACUUGCCCCUGGUGUCUGAUGUACACCCUCACACGUCUUCCUGCUGUGCUGUGUGCGCGUCUCUCUGAGCACACGGCCCCCAGUGGGACUGGAAAAAAGGAAAAAAUGCCAAAGGACAAAGUAAACUGUCUACAGUAAAUUAGAAUUAUCAGCAAAUUACAAGAUGAAGAACUCAAAAAUAGUUAAUCGAUGAAUAUCGCUCCAAGUCUUUCUGCUCGUCUAAGGAUUCUGUGGGGGGGAGACUCCUCCUGCAAAGCAAGCUCCUGCUCAAGGAUAUUUUAAUGGACAAAGUCUCUCUCAAUAUCCUGAUUCCUUAAUUCCAUAGAGCCUUGUUUUCUUUCUUUCUUUCUUUCCUUCUUUCUUUUUUUCUGAGGAAGAUUAGCCCUGAGCUAACAUCUG